rnacentral:rRNA from 1 species
CCUACGGGAGGCAGCAGUGGGGAAUUUUGGACAAUGGGGGCAACCCUGAUCCAGCCAUGCCGCGUGCGGGAAGAAGGCCUUCGGGUUGUAAACCGCUUUUGUCGGGGAAGAAACGGUCUGCGCUAAUACCGCGGGCUAAUGACGGUACCCGAAGAAUAAGCACCGGCUAACUACGUGCCAGCAGCCGCGGUAAUACGUAGGGUGCAAGCGUUAAUCGGAAUUACUGGGCGUAAAGCGUGCGCAGGCGGCUUUGCAAGACAGAUGUGAAAUCCCCGGGCUUAACCUGGGAACUGCAUUUGUGACUGCAUGGCUGGAGUGCGGCAGAGGGGGAUGGAAUUCCGCGUGUAGCAGUGAAAUGCGUAGAUAUCAGGAGGAAUACCGAUGGCGAAGGCAGGUCCCUGGGUUAACACUGACGCUCAUGCACGAAAGCGUGGGGAGCAAACAGGAUUAGAUACCCUGGUAGUCCACGCCCUAAACUAUGUCAACUGGUUGUUGGGGGUUUGACACUCUCAGUAACGAAGCUAACGCGUGAAGUUGACCGCCUGGGGAGUACGGCCGCAAGGUUAAAACUUAAAGGAAUUGACGG